UACGGGGGGAGCAAGCGUUGUUCGGAUUUACUGGGCGUAAAGGGCGGGUAGGCGGCCACCGCAAGUCGACUGUGAAAGCCCCGGGCUCAACCCGGGAAGUGCACUCGAUACUGCCAAGCUAGAGUAUCGGAGAGGUUGGUGGAAUUCUCGGUGUAGAGGUGAAAUUCGUAGAUAUCGAGAGGAACACCGGUGGCGAAGGCGGCCAACUGGACGAAUACUGACGCUGAGACUCGAAAGCGUGGGGAGCAAACAGG
rnacentral:rRNA from 1 species